UACGUAGGGGCCAAGCGUUGUCCGGAUUUAUUGGGCGUAAAGAGCUCGUAGGCGGUUCGGCAAGUCAGCUGUAGAAAUCUCCACGCUCACGUGGAGGGGUCAGCUGAUACUGCUGUGACUUGAGUCCGGUAGGGGAGUGUGGAUUCCCGGUGUAGCGGUGAAAUGCGCAGAUAUCAGGAGGAACACCGGUGGCGAAGGCGGGUCUCUGGGCAACAACUGACGCUGAGGAGCGAAAGCGUGGGGAGCGAACAGG
rnacentral:rRNA from 1 species